CAAAUGGACGACUAGGGUUCCGGUCUGCACGAAUGCAAACAGAGGCGUUCGGUGCGCGACGCUGGUCCGAGAGUUGUCGACCUCGCACGAGGUUACACGGCGGGAUAAAAGCCCGGGAGAG
rnacentral:sRNA from 2 species